CUACUAAAUGUGAAGACAAUAAUGCACUUAUUAUAUAAACCUUAAUGGAGAAAAUUGGAAACAAAAUGUUAAUAUAAUGGGUGAUUAUUUGGAAAACAUAUGAUUAUAUUUUCCCCUCCAGGAAGACAUUGAAUUUAAAAUAAUUUGAUGAUAAGUAUAUUUGUUUUUUGACAUUUGUUCUUCCUGCUGACGUCAAUGCUGGUGAGAUGGUCUAUAAUGUCCUUUGCAGGGGCGUCAUGUGGUUUUUCUUCUGUGUCAAUUUGUAAAUCACUUGGAGGUAAUAUGGUUACCUGUUUACCUCCCGUCGCAGCAAGAAAAGGAUAAUCCAAAACUAUAUGCUAAUAAUGACCGAAAAUUGAUGGCCUCUGAGGGUGGUUUGAUACUUUCGGAUAUCAGGUUGGCUGAGAAGCGGAUAUACCUUGCUGCUCUCAAUGGUUUAUUUGGUCAAAGCUAAUAUGGAUUCUCCGUCUGUAUAGUCAUUGGUUAACUUAUCCUUCAUUGAAAUGUUUCUAAUAUUGAUCUUUUUUUUCAG